rnacentral:rRNA from 1 species
UGGGGAAUAUUGCGCAAUGGGGGGAACCCUGACGCAGCCAUGCCGCGUGAAUGAAGAAGGCCUUAGGGUUGUAAAGUUCUUUCGGUAUUGAGGAAGGUUGAUGUGUUAAUAGCACAUCAAAUUGACGUUAAAUACAGAAAAAGCACCGGCUAACUCCGUGCCAGCAGCCGCGGUAAUACGGAGGGUGCGAGCGUUAAUCGGAAUAACUGGGCGUAAAGGGCACGCAGGCGGUUAUUUAAGUGAGGUGUGAAAGCCCCGGGCUUAACCUGGGAAUUGCAUUUCAGACUGGGUAACUAGAGUACUUUAGGGAGGGGUAGAAUUCCACGUGUAGCGGUGAAAUGCGUAGAGAUGUGGAGGAAUACCGAAGGCGAAGGCAGCCCCUUGGGAAUGUACUGACGCUCAUGUGCGAAAGCGUGGGGAGCAAACAGGAUUAGAUACCCUGGUAGUCCACGCUGUAAACGCUGUCGAUUUGGGGGUUGGGGUUUAACUCUGGCGCCCGUAGCUAACGUGAUAAAUCGACCGCCUGGGGAGUACGGCCGCAAGGUUA